rnacentral:tRNA from 1 species
AGUGACGUAGUUCAGUUGGUUAGAACGUUGGAAUCAUAAUCCAAAUGUCAAGGGUUCGAAUCCCUUCCUCACUA